rnacentral:rRNA from 1 species
GCUGCAAUGCCCGACUUUGCGGAAGGGCGGUAUUUAUUAGAUAACAAGCCAAUAUUCCUUGUGUCUAUUGUGGUGACUCAUAAUAACUGAUCGAAUCGCAAGGCCUACGGCCGCGAUAAGUCAUUCAAGUUUCUGCCCCAUCAGCUUUCGAUGGUAGUGUAUUGGACUACCAUGGCGUUUACGGGUAACGGAGGAUUAGGGUUCGAUUCCGGAGAGGGAGCCUGAGAAACGGCUACCACAUCUAAGGAAGGCAGCAGGCGCGUAAAUUACCCAAUCCUGACUCAGGGAGGUAGUGACAAGAAAUAACGGACCGUUAGCCUUCGGGCGGCGGGACU